rnacentral:rRNA from 1 species
GGAAUUUUCCGCAAUGGGCGACAGCCUGACGGAGCAACGCCGCGUGAGUGAGGACGGCCUUCGGGUUGUAAAACUCUGUUCUUGCGGAAGAAUUCCUUCCAGGCGAACAGCCUGGAAGGUUGACGGUACUCAAGGAGAAAGCCCCGGCUAACUACGUGCCAGCAGCCGCGGUAAUACGUAGGGGGCGAGCGUUAUCCGGAAUUAUUGGGCGGAAAGCGCGCGCAGGCGGCCGGUUAAGUCAGGUGUGAAAGGCUGCGGCUCAACCGCAGAGCGGCACCUGAAACUGGUCGGCUUGAGUGCAGGAGAGGGGAGCGGAACUCCCGGUGUAGCGGUGGAAUGCGUAGAGAUCGGGAGGAACACCAGUGGCGAAGGCGGCUCUCUGGCCUGUAACUGACGCUGAGGCGCGAAAGCGUGGGGAGCACACA